rnacentral:rRNA from 1 species
UUAAAAGCAAUUAAGGGCGUAUGGUGGAUGCCUUGGCUCUCAGAGGCGAUGAAGGACGUGAUAAGCUGCGAUAAGCUUCGGGGAGGUGCAAACGACCUUUGAUCCGAAGAUUUCCGAAUGGGGCAACCUGGUACUGUGCUGCAGUAUCGCAAUAGCGCUAACCCGGAGAACUGAAACAUCUAAGUACCCGGUGGAAAAGAAAACAAAAGUGAUUCCCUAAGUAGCGGCGAGCGAAAGGGGACUAGCCCAAACCAAAAUUGUUUCGGCAAUUUUGGGGUUGUAGGACUACGUCAUGGACUAUAUGUAUAUAGUAGAAGUAUUUUGGAAAAUUUUGCCAUAGAGGGUGAUAGCCCCGUAUACGAAAUAUACAUAUUACCUAGUAGUAUCCUGAGUAAGGCGGGACAUGUGUAAUCCUGUCUGAAUCUACCAGAACCAUCUGGUAAGGCUAAAUACUCCUGAGAGACCGAUAGUGAACUAGUACUGUGAAGGAAAGGUGAAAAGUACCCCGAGCAGGGGAGUGAAAUAGAUCCUGAAACCGUACGCCUACAAGCGGUCGGAGCAACUUCGUGUUGUGACGGCGUGCCUUUUGCAUAAUGACCCUACGAGUUACUCCUCACUGGCAAGGUUAAGCACUUCAGGUGCGCAGCCGAAGCGAAAGCGAGUCUGAAUAGGGCGCAUAGUCAGUGGGGGUAGACGCGAAACUUUGUGAUCUACCCAUGGCCAGGAUGAAGUUAGGGUAACACCUAAUGGAGGUCCGAACCGAUAAGCGUUGAAAAGCUUCCGGAUGAGCUGUGGGUAGGGGUGAAAGGCUAAUCAAACUGAGAAAUAGCUCGUACUCUCCGAAAUGCAUUUAGGUGCAGCGUCGAGGUUGAGUCAUAAAGAGGUAGAGCUACUGAUAGGGCUAGGGGGCUUCACCGCCUACCAAACCCUGACAAACUCCGAAUGCUUUAUGAUAUACUCGGCAGUGAGCCCAUGGGUGCUAAGGUCUGUGGGCGAGAGGGAAAGAACCCAGACCAUCAGCUAAGGUCCCCAAAUCUAUGCUAAGUUGAUCUAACGUGGUCCGAUUGCUUUGACAGCUAGGAUGUUUGCUUGGAAGCAGCAAUUCAUUUAAAGAGUGCGUAACAGCUCACUAGUCGAGCGAUCGGGCGUGGAUAAUAAACGGGCAUUAAGCAUAGUACCGAAGCUAUGGAAUUGAAAAAUUGGUAGGAGAGCAUUCCAGUCUGCGUCGAAGGUGUAUCGCGAGGUAUGCUGGAGCGUCUGGAAAAGAAAAUGUAGGGAUAAGUAACGACAAAGCGGGCGAGAAACCCGCUCACCGAUAGACUAAGGUUUCCUGGUCCAUGUUAAUCAGAUCAGGGUUAGUCGGGACCUAAGGCGAAGCCGAACGGCGUAGUCGAUGGACAACAGGUUAAUAUUCCUGUACCGGUAUGGUUGUGACGGAGUGACGGAGAAGUGUAAGGUCUGCGUACUUACGGAAUAGUACGUUGAAGAGCGUAGGGUUACUUGCUGUUGGCAAAUCCGCAGUGAGUCUGAAACUCGAUAGUACAGCAAUCCCUCGUGGAGAGUUGAUAAUGACCCCAAACAUGCUUCCAAGAAAAACUUCUAAACUAUAGACCAUUUCCGCCCGUACCUCAAACCGACACAGGUAGUCUAGGAGAGAAUCCUAAGGUGCUCGAGUGAUUCACGGCUAAGGAACUCGGCAAAUUAGCUCCGUAACUUCGGGAUAAGGAGCGCCUCCCUCGCAAGAGGAGGCCGCAGUGAAUAGGCCCAGGCGACUGUUUAACAAAAACACAUGGCUAUGCUAAAUCGAAAGAUGAUGUAUAUGGCCUGACACCUGCCCGGUGCUGGAAGGUUAAGAGGAGAUGUCAUCGUAAGAGAAGCAUUGAAUCGAAGCCCCAGUAAACGGCGGCCGUAACUAUAACGGUCCUAAGGUAGCGAAAUUCCUUGUCGGGUAAGUUCCGACCUGCACGAAUGGUGUAACGAUCUGGGCACUGUCUCAGCCGUGAGCUCGGUGAAAUUGUAGCAGCGGUGAAGAUGCCGCUUACCCGCAUCGGGACGGAAAGACCCCGUGAACCUUUACUAUAGCUUCACAUUGACGUUGGGUAAUUGAUGUGUAGGAUAGGUGGGAGACUUUGAAGCUGCGUCGCUAGGCGUGGUGGAGUCAACGUUGAAAUACCACCCUUUAAUUAUUCGAUGUCUAACCCGGAAACGGGAACAGUGUGUGGUGGGUAGUUUGACUGGGGUGGUCGCCUCCAAAAGAGUAACGGAGGCUUCCAAAGGUGCCCUCAGCACGCUUGGUAACCGUGCGUAGAGUGUAAUAGCAUAAGGGCGCUUGACUGUGAGACCGACAAGUCGAGCAGGUAGGAAACUAGGGUAUAGUGAUCCGGUGGUUCCGCAUGGAAGGGCCAUCGCUCAAAGGAUAAAAGGUACUCCGGGGAUAACAGGCUGAUCAUUCCCAAGAGCUCACAUCGACGGAAUGGUUUGGCACCUCGAUGUCGGCUCGUCACAUCCUGGGGCUGGAGAAGGUCCCAAGGGUUCGGCUGUUCGCCGAUUAAAGUGGCACGCGAGCUGGGUUCAGAACGUCGUGAGACAGUUCGGUCCCUAUCUGAUGUGGGCGUUAGAAGUUUGAGGGGGCCUGACUCUAGUACGAGAGGACCGAGUCGGACGAACCUCUGGUGUACCUGUUGUGGCGCCAGCUGCAUCGCAGGGUAGCUAUGUUCGGUUGAGAUAAGCGCUGAAAGCAUCUAAGCGCGAAACUUGCCUCAAGAUGAGACUUCUUUUAAGGGUCGUCAAAGAUGAUGACGUUGAUAGGUUGCAGAUGUAAAGGUUGAAAGGCCAAAGUCGAGCAAUACUAAUUACCCGUAAGCUUUUAAUC